rnacentral:rRNA from 1 species
UAGGGAAUCUUCCACAAUGGACGCAAGUCUGAUGGAGCAACGCCGCGUGAGUGAAGAAGGGUUUCGGCUCGUAAAGCUCUGUUGUUAAAGAAGAACAUGCAGGAGAGUAACUGUUCUUGUAUUGACGGUAUCUAACCAGAAAGCCACGGCUAACUACGUGCCAG